UACUGGGCCUAAAGCGUGCGCAGGCGGUUAUGCAAGACAGAUGUGAAAUCCCCGGGCUCAACCUGGGAACUGCCUUUGUGACUGCAUGGCUAGAGUACGGUAGAGGGGGAUGGAAUUCCGCGUGUAGCGGUGAAAUGCGUAGAUAUGCGGAGGAACACCGAUGGCGAAGGCAAUCCCCUGGACCUGUACUGACGCUCAUGCACGAAAGCGUGGGGAGCAAACAGGAUUAGAUACCCUGGUAGUCCACGCCCUAAACGAUGUCAACUGGUUGUUGGGAGGGUUUCUUCUCGGUAACGUAACUAACGCGUGAAGUUGACCCCCUGGGGAAUACGGCCGCAAGGUUUAAACUCAAAGGAAUUGACGC
rnacentral:rRNA from 1 species